AUGAAACACUCCUACGGGAGGCAGCAGUGGGGAAUUUUGGACAAUGGGGGCAACCCUGAUCCAGCAAUGCCGCGUGAGUGAAGAAGGCCUUCGGGUUGUAAAGCUCUUUUGUCAGGGAAGAAACGGUAGUAGCUAAUAUCUAUUACUAAUGACGGUACCUGAAGAAUAAGCACCGGCUAACUACGUGCCAGCAGCCGCGGUAAUACGUAGGGUGCAAGCGUUAAUCGGAAUUACUGGGCGUAAAGCGUGCGCAGGCGGUUGUGUAAGUCAGAUGUGAAAUCCCCGGGCUCAACCUGGGAAUUGCAUUUGAGACUGCACGGCUAGAGUGUGUCAGAGGGGGGUAGAAUUCCACGUGUAGCAGUGAAAUGCGUAGAUAUGUGGAGGAAUACCGAUGGCGAAGGCAGCCCCCUGGGAUAACACUGACGCUCAUGCACGAAAGCGUGGGGAGCAAACAGGAUUAGAAACCCGUGUAGUCCGAAGUUC
rnacentral:rRNA from 1 species